rnacentral:snRNA from 1 species
AAAUAUGCCGUCGGUUAUGAUCGCGACGGUGCUUGUCCCCGGGCAAGGCUUGGCCGCUGCCCUCCGGAUGUGCUGACCCCUGCGAUUUCCCCAAGCGUGGGAAACCCCACUGCAGAAUUCGUGGGAGUGGGGCACUGUGUCCGCGCGCUCCCCGA